rnacentral:rRNA from 1 species
UGGGGAAUAUUGGACAAUGGGCGGAAGCCUGAUCCAGCAACGCCGCGUGAGGGAUGACGGCCUUCGGGUUGUAAACCUCUUUCAGUACCGACGAAGCGAAAGUGACGGUAGGUACAGAAGAAGGACCGGCCAACUACGUGCCAGCAGCCGCGGUAAUACGUAGGGUCCGAGCGUUGUCCGGAAUUAUUGGGCGUAAAGGGCUCGUAGGCGGUUUGUCGCGUCGGGAGUGAAAACAGCGGGCUUAACUCGUUGCUUGCUUUCGAUACGGGCAGACUAGAGGUAUGCAGGGGAGAAUGGAAUUCCUGGUGUAGCGGUGAAAUGCGCAGAUAUCAGGAGGAACACCGGUGGCGAAGGCGGUUCUCUGGGCAUUACCUGACGCUGAGGAGCGAAAGUGUGGGGAGCGAACAGGAUUAGAUACCCUGGUAGUCCACAACCGUAAACGUUGGGCGCUAGGUGUGGGUCCUUUCCACGGAUUCC